UCUUGAAUUCUCAUGUUUGAGCAAAAAAUAUAAUUGUUACUCUAUGGAACUAUCAUUUUAGAUACAGUUGUGAUAAAAAAAAAAGCUGAAAUAGGCAGAUCUUCCUUUUACAAUUUCGCCUUUAAAGCAGUACUGAGUGUCAGCGAAUACAAUGAGUAAUACCAAAUGAGCAGUAUGGUAAUAAUAAUUAAAUAACUACAUUAACUUAUUUUGUUUAGGAGAAUCCAUCCUCAACAUACAGGAUUCUGAAGACUAUCCACCUUCAAGAUCACCGUAAUUUUAUAUAGUUUCAGAGUUAUCUGCCAAUGAUAGUGUUUCAGUCACAUUAUGUAUGUCACAUAGCUACACUACAUCACCUGUAGCAAAAAGAA